rnacentral:lncRNA from 1 species
AAUUAGGUUAUGGAGGAAGAAGCUCUGAAGGUGGAGAUGUUGGCCAAUGUAGAUGAUGCUCUUUUGAGGUCUUAAAGUUUUUUUUAAAGGUGUUGUUUGUGGGAGAUUGAGAUGGAGGUGGAUUAGAGAGAGGUUUAAAUGGAGUGUUGAUAGGAAGUGAUAUGUUAAGAAGGAAGACGAUGGAACACAAGGCUUUGAACUUGCAAGAAGUAGCUUUUGUUUUUUAGUGUUGGUGGAUUUUUCGAUUAAGGUGGUUUAGGAAGUGGCGCAAAAGUUGGUGGAUAAUAAGGUUAGAGUGGCUUGUAGAGGAUCAAUGGGUUCUCAACAAUUGUUCUCCUAUCACUGUUGCAAUCAUGACCCUUGCUGUGAUGGCCAUGAAGUUAAGUUGUAUGAGUGUUCUGCGUUGAAGUUGUGGAGGUGUUAGUAGCGGGUAAAUUCGAUUCCAGGAGGCUACAAGCUGAUCUAAAAGCACCUGUUUCUGCUUCAUUUGAGAUUUGAGAUGACAGUAAAUCAAAUCUGUGAGAACUUUGCCAGUAUUGAGAGGUUAUGUCAAGAAUUGCAGACAUUAAUUGAGAAUCAUGAUCUGACUAAGCUUUUUAGCACUGCAUGAAAUACUUUAAACAACACAUUGAAGGUCUUGGAAGUUUUGAUGCUGCACUUGAAUCUCCUAAAUCUUGGGUUAUGAAUGUGAUGCUGACCAUAGCCAUAUUAAGACACGCUUGGUGUCAUUUGUGUAUGAGGCUUGAAUGGAACCUAUCAUGAUUGUUAAUUUUGAAGUCUUGCAUUCAAGUAUGCUAUUUUUUUUUCUAAUUCUAGACAUCUUUCUUAAUUAUAAGGCAAUCAUCGUUAAU